CAAUAGCGAAGGCAAUUGUCUAAAAUACUACUGACUUUUAAAUGCCGAAAGCGUAGGUAGCAAAAUGGAUUAGAGACCCAAGUAGUCUACGCUGUAAACGAUGAACAUUCGAGAAUGGUGAAAACCUUUCUCCUAGUUAACACAUUAAAUGUUCUACCUUAUGACUACGACCGCAAGGUUAAAAGUGAAAAGAAUAGGCGGGGAUUGACAUAGAUGGUGGAGUAUGAAGCAUAAUAGGAUACAGCACCUGGAACCUUACCUUUUUUAGACUGCCUGCGAAGG
rnacentral:rRNA from 14 species